rnacentral:rRNA from 1 species
UACAGAGGUCUCAAGCGUUGUUCGGAUUCAUUGGGCGUAAAGGGCGCGUAGGCGGCGGGGUAAGUCGGGUGUGAAAUCUCAGAGCUCAACUCUGAAACUGCACUCGAUACUGCUCUGCUUGAGGACUGGAGAGGAGACUGGAAUUCACGGUGUAGCAGUGAAAUGCGUAGAUAUCAAGUGGAACACCAGUGGCGAAGGCGAAUCCCUGGAAAAUACCUGACACUGAGGCACGAAAGCUAGGGGAGCAAACAGG